CUCAGAGACGAUGAGGUAGAUAGGUCACGGGUGGAAGCAUGGCGACAUGCGGAGCUGAGUGAUACUAAUCGGUCGAGGCCUUGUUCUA
rnacentral:rRNA from 1 species